rnacentral:rRNA from 1 species
UGCGUAGGCGGAAUAUUAAGUCAGUGGUGAAAUCCUGCGGCUCAACCGUAGAACUGCCAUUGAUACUGAUAUUCUUGAAUGUAGUUGAGGUAGGCGGAAUGUGUAAUGUAGCGGUGAAAUGCUUAGAUAUUACACAGAACACCGAUUGCGAAGGCAGCUUACUAAACUAUUAUUGACGCUGAUGCACGAAAGCGCGGGGAGCGAACAGGAUUAGAUACCCUGGUAGUCC